GUAUUUACUUUAUUAUGUGCCCUCUUUAAAUUUAACUAUAUGCUGGAAUAGCUCAGUGUUUAUAAGUACUUAAUCGUAAAAAUCUUGUAAGCUAUGCUUAAUCAGCAGGAAACCAAAGGACGGAUAAAUAUCCUAGUAGCAUCCUCAGAGACUACACGCAAAUAAUUAAUACGUUAAGUAUAAUAUAUUUAACCCAUUAAUCAUGAUAUAGUCCAACCGAUAUAGAAAUAUAUUG
rnacentral:ncRNA from 1 species